rnacentral:rRNA from 1 species
AACGAACGCUGGCGGCGCGCCUAAUACAUGCAAGUCGAGCGAGAAGACCGUAGGCAAUACGUUUGUAAAGCGGCGAACGGGUGAGGAAUACAUGGGUAACCUACCCUCGAGUGGGAAUAACUAGCCGAAAGGUUAGCUAAUACCGCGUACGCUCCUUGGACUUCGGUUCAGGGAGGAAAGCGAUACCGUGGGUAUCGGCGCUCUUGGACUGGGCUCAUGUCCUAUCAGCUUGUUGGNG